UCUUUUCGGUUCCACUGGUUGAAGUUGAAAAUUCUGUCGGUUGACUCGAAAUAUUGGAUGGCGAUAAACGGUCGUGCUGCGUAGCGGGUUCCUUACGCGGCUUCAAAUGGACAAGACUUCUACGAUACUCGGCUCCGUCCACGUUGACCAUGUAGGAUCUUUCGUUCAAUCGAUCAGAAACAGUUCCAGGAGUCCAAAGCUUCGAAGUCUCUGGAUGGAGUUGAACGUAAACCGGUGAUCCAGUUUGUAGUUCAGAUGGGACAUUCUCCACUACCUUUGGUUGCAAGUUUGUUGCACUUAUCGGUACACCACAUCGUGUUGAACGGGAAAACAAACGAGCUGCUGGACUGGAUCCAAUCUUGUUGGGAAUAUUGCGCCAAUGCAACAGAGCGUACCAAAAAUCUGAUCCGCUUUCUUCAGCCUUCUUCAUCAACCUUUUAGCUAUCUUCACGGCAGCCUCCGACUUCCCAUUGGCUUGCUGAUGAUGAGGUGCAGACGUGACGUGAUCAAAACUCCAUUCGCCGGCAAACUUCACAAUCUUUUGAUUCACGAAGUUUGUACCAUUGUCCGUCACUACUAGUUGUGGAAUUCCGUGACGCGCGAAGUUUUCCUUACAUGCAGCUACCACAGAUUCUGGCGUCAGAUCCUUUAACAAACCAUGGUAAUCAGCAAAAAACACAUCCAUCGAAACCAUCUGGAAAGGGUACACUGGAAUCUUAUGGCUUUGCAUUGGCGGAUUCGGUUGAGAUGCAGCAAAUUUAGCACAAAUUGCAGAUUCCUUGACGACAUCCUUGAUCUGCGAACUCAUUCCUGGCCAGAACAAAUUCGCUCUUGCUAACUUCAGUGUAGCCUCCACACCAUUGUGACUGAUAUGACAGCAAUCCACAAGCUUUCUCCGGAGAACAUACGG